AGUUGGAUGCUUAACCGACUUAGUCACCCAGGUACCCCUGUUCUACUGACAUUCUUGACAUUCUCCCUCUCUUCCUCUGCUCUGAACCAGCCACACUCUUUCCAAAUGUUGUCUGUUCUACCUUCAAAACAGGCCCCUAAUUCAUCCACUUCUUUCCAUCCCCUUGUCCUCACUCUAGGUCACCAUCAUGUCUCAACUGUACCCCCUCACUUCCUCUUUGCUGCCGGCCUCGUCUGUCCUUUCAACAAAAGCCAGAAGAACCUCAAACAAACACAUGUCCACUAAAGGUCUUCACUUGUGUUGUUUCCUCUGCUUAAAACACUUUUCCUUCCACUUCACACCUGUGAGAUUACUUAUCUGUUGUGGACUGAAUGUGUCCACCCCCCCAAAAUCCGCAUGUUAAAACCCUACCCUCCAAUGUGAUGGUAUUAGGAGGAGGAGGUGGGGCCUUUGGGAGGUGGCUAGAAUUAGAUGAGGUCGUGAAGACGGGGCUUGCCUCCUCUCCGGCUUUUUGCCAUGUGAGGACACGAGAAGUUGGCUGUGUCUAACCCGGAAGAAGAUCCUCCUCAGAACACGACCAUGCUGGCACCCUGAUCUUGGACUUCCAAUUUCCAGAACUAUGAGAAAUAAAUUUCUGUUGUUUAUAAGCCA